rnacentral:lncRNA from 1 species
CCCAGCCCCAAGUAUUGGAUAUGUUUUAUAAGACAGUUUUGCUGAUUUUUUUUUGCGGGGGGGAGUACUGGGGAUUGAGCUCAGGGGCACUCAACCACUGAGCCACAUCCCCAGUUGUAUUUUGUAUUUUAUUUAGAGACAGGGUCUCACUGAGGUGCUUAGCACCUAGCUUUUGCUGAGGCUGGUUUUGAGUUCACGAUCCUCCUGCCUCAGCCUCCUAAGGCACUGGGAUUACAGGCAUGUGCCACCAUGCCUAGCAUUUUUGCUGAUUUUGAUGUAUGGUAGAUGAAACAGUUUGUACUCAGUGUCCUUUCCAUGAUAAACUUGAACCAAUUAAUGAUAUCUAGUCUUCCCUUGAUGUGAUUCAAAAAAUUGAUAAAAGAUAAUAAUGGCAAUGAUAAAUAUUAGGCAGUAUUAAUAUACACCUAUGAAAUUCUUGCAGAGUAUUUGAUUAUGGCAUAAUGAAAUUUAAUGUCAUAUUUUUCAAAAUGAACUUUUUUCUCUAUAUGACUUAAUUUGAACAUAAUUUAAAAAGAUGAUGUAAUUUAAACUACCCUAUAAAAAUAAUCCAAGGGGAGAGGGAAAGUUUUCUUUCUAGAAGAAUGGCAGCUAAUACAGAUUCUUUGAACUGGAAAAUCACCACAUUGUGAAUCCCCCAAAGAUGUGACAAAACCACUGAUAGAUUGCAGUUGGGGAACAGAAUGGUCUCAUGACUUCAUUUCACACUUAUUUAUGAAUUUAAAAAAGGAAAUAUUCAGAGAGGGAGAGGGAGAAACUGAUUAUCACCUCAACCAAAUAGGAGAACCUGACCAUAUGGAGUUUGGAAUUCAUCUAUGUGAAGUUCUUGAUGGAAUUCUAUAUGUGUGUGUGUGUGUGUGUGUGUGUGUGUGUGUGUGUGAUCUGCACAUUAUCAGAAAGUAUUCAAUACCUGUUUUCAGAUAUUAUAAUUUUUUAAAUUUUCAUGCUGUUUCCAAUUUAU